AAACAACAAUACGGGUGCUGGGGCUUUGCCCCGGCUGAGAUGCCACUUACUCUGGCAAACCGUUGAACUUGAUCCGGGUAAUACCGGCGUAUAAGGAAGGAAUACUUGUGACCA
rnacentral:ncRNA from 1 species